rnacentral:rRNA from 1 species
AGAGUNUUAUCCUGGCUCAGAUUGAACGCUGGCGGCAGGCCUAACACAUGCAAGUCGAACGGUAGCACAGAGAGCUUGCUCUCGGGUGNCGAGCGGCGGACGGGUGAGUAAUGUCUGGGAAACUGCCUGAUGGAGGGGGAUAACUACUGGAAACGGUAGCUAAUACCGCAUAACGUCGCAAGACCAAAGAGGGGGACCUUCGGGCCUCUUGCCAUCAGAUGUGCCCAGAUGGGAUUAGCUAGUAGGUGGGGUAACGGCUCACCUAGGCGACGAUCCCUAGNUGGUNUGAGAGGAUGACCANCCACACUGGAACUNAGACACGNUNCAGACUCCUACGGGAGGCAGCANNGGGGNAUAUUGCACAAUNGGCGCAAGCCUGAUGCAGCCAUGCCGNGNGUAUGAAGAAGGCCUUCGGGUUGUAAAGUACUUUCAGCGGGGAGGAAGGUGAUAAGGUUAAUAACCACAUCGAUUGACGUUACCCGCAGAAGAAGCACCGGCUAACUCCGUGCCAGCAGCCGCGGUAAUACGGAGGGUGCAAGCGUUAAUCGGAAUUACUGGGCGUAAAGCGCACGCAGGCGGUCUGUCAAGUCGGAUGUGAAAUCCCCGGGCUCAACCUGGGAACUGCAUUCGAAACUGGCAGGCUAGAGUCUUGUAGAGGGGGGUAGAAUUCCAGGUGUAGCGGUGAAAUGCGUAGAGAUCUGGAGGAAUACCGGUGGCGA